CAAUAGCUCAAUGGAUAGAGUCCCGGCCUUCUAAUCCGGUUGUUGUAGGUUCGAGUCCUACUUGG
rnacentral:tRNA from 1 species